AAUAUUAAGAGUUUGAUCCUGGCUCCGAAUUAAUGCUUUUGGUUAAUCUUACACAUGCAAGUUAUUAAAAAAUUAAUAGCGUACGGGUGAGUAAUAUAUAAAAAUAAUUUUUUAAAAAAGUUUAUACGAGAUUAAGUAAUAAUCAAUUUAAAUAGUUGCUUAGCUAAUAAUCUCUAGUUGAUCUUUGAGGAUGAUCAGCCACAUUGGAAUUGAAAAAUGGUCCAAACUAAAUUUAGGCAGCAGUGAAGAAUAUUGGACAAUGAGUGUAAACUUGAUCCAGUUAAACCAAUUAUGUGAAGAAGAUUUUUUAUUGUAAAACAUUAAACUUUAAAAAUAAUAAUGCUUUUUAAAGUUUAUUAGUCCUGGCUAAUUUCGUGCCAGCAGCCGCGGUAAAACGAGAAGGGCAAGUGUUAUUCAAAUUUACUGGGCGUAAAGAAUUAUUAGGUUGUAAAUUAGUAUUAAUUUUUUUUAAUUAUUAUAUUUUUAAAGUUUAUUUUAAAAUAAAAUUAUUAGAUAAAUUUACUUGAGUUUAAAAAAGAGAUUUUGGAAUUUUAAGUGUAACGGUAAAAUGUAUUGAUAUUUAAAAGAAUUUUUAAGGUAAACACAGAAAUCUAUUUUAAAACUGACAUUUUUUAAUUAAAGUAUAGGUAGCAAAAGGGAUUAGAUACCCCUGUAGUCUAUACCCUGAACUAUGAAUGUUAUUAUUUUUUUUGGUUUAAAAAAAUAUUUAGAUUAACGUAAAAACAUUUCGCCUGGGAACUACGGUCGCAAGAUUAAAACUCAAAGGAAUUGACGGGAAUUCAAACAAGCAGUGGAGCAUGUGGUUUAAAUCGACAAUACGCGAGAAACCUUACCAAUUUUUGUUAUCAGGUGUUGCAUGGCUGUCGUCAGUCCGUGCUUUGAAGUAUUUGGUUUAUUCCAAUUAACGGACGAAACUUUUGUAUGUUAAAUUAAAAAUUACAUAAAUUUAUUAAGGACAUCUUAUUAGAAUGAAAACGAUGACAAGUCCUCAUGACCCUUAUAAAUUGGGCUACUUUCAUGUGCUACAAUAUUCUUUACAAAAAAUAAUAAUAUUAAAUUAAAUUUUUAUAAAUUAAAAAAAAGAAUAAUCGAAUUAUUUUCUGAAACUUGAAAAUAUAAAGUUGGAAUUGCUAGUAAUCGUUUAUAAGAAUGUUACGGUGAAUUUGUUCUUGAAUUUUGUACAUACCGCCCGUCACGCUACGGAAAUCAAAUUUAUUUGAAGAAUUUUCAAAAUUUUAGAAUAAAGCGAGGACUAGAGUGAAGUCGUAACAAGGUAGCCGUAGGGGAACCUGUGGCUGGAAUAUAAAAAAU
rnacentral:rRNA from 1 species